rnacentral:lncRNA from 1 species
GUCAUCUCCCACGCUUGAUUUCUUUGCGUCAAUCACAUUCAUGUAUUCCUCGUCAGUCACUAUCUCUAGCCCUAAUUUCUCUUCAUUGACACUUUGGCCUUCAUUCCGAAGAGAACCCACAUUUUUAAUUCCCAAGCUUUCACCCCUGAUAGGGUUAAAACCCGUAACUGAAGCAGGGUUACAAAUAAGGCCUUCUUCAUUUUCUAGGCUCACGAUCCACUUUUCCUUGUCCUGCCAAGUAUAUUUUGGGGUCUUACCCGACCUAGUCUUCUUUUUGUUGAGGUCCACUUGAGUAGGACGAUUGGGGCGUUUGUCAUUUUGAAAUUGGGUUAUCGAGCCAACUCGACCCUACAUCCCUCUAGGUUUCCUCUACCCUACCUGGAUCACAUCACCUCCAAUGGAACACAAUGCCGCCGCGUAAGAUUUUAGGGCAUCUCCUUCCAUUGAAACAUGGAUCAAGACAUUGCAAUGUGGGCACGGAAAAGACAGUUGCCACGGUUUCUUCGAUUGGCCCACCUUUUCGAUAGAAGACUUCUUGCUCUCUCGACCAANN